rnacentral:rRNA from 1 species
GCUUAUGGCCACACCGCCUGGUUCACGGCUGAUCUCGUUUGAUCUCGGAAGCUAAGAUAGGUUCGGCCUGGUUAGUACUUGGAUGGGAGACCGCCUGGGAAUACCAGGUGCUGUAAAGC